CCUAACCAAAUGUUUAUGGUGAAGUCUUGAUUGGAAUGUCAAUUCAUUUUCAAAAAGACUCUCUUCCUCCUGAAACUUCAUUCUUUGAUGACCUGUGUAUCCUUUCUUGACAGCCACUUCAGUACCAUCUGGUAGCUUCCCUCUGUAAACAUCAUAAGAACUCCCCACGCCAAUCUUGUUCUGUAGUGAGAAAUAAUUGGUUGCAGCAGCAAUUUGAGCCAAUGUAAAUUCCUCUGCUCUAUUCAGUCUCCAUACAUGUGCGGUUGGCCUUUCUUUUGUAGUAUUUCCUGAAAGUCUCGAAGACAAUAGACCAAAGGAGAAGAUUAUUAUCAGCAUGCUGAGACAAAAA
rnacentral:misc_RNA from 1 species